CAAUUGAUUAUGUAGAGUUGGUUGUAGCUGGCAUUUCCUUUAAUUUGGGGAUUGCAUGUCACACCUUCUCUUUCAUCCACACACCCCUGUGCACUUGUGAGACAGAUUGCUUUUUGGAGGGGGAACUUUAUUGGACCCUUUCUUUUUGGCUCUCUGUCUACUUAAUUAAUAUAAACUCAAUUUAUUUUAAAAUGAAUGUAAUGGAUGUAACACAUCUAAUACUAAGUUUCAACAACGGAUCUCUUGGCUCUCGCAUCGAUGAAGAACGCAGCGAAAUGCGAUAAGUAAUGUGAAUUGCAGAAUUCAGUGAAUCAUCGAAUCUUUGAACGCACCUUGCGCUCCUUGGUAUUCCUUGGAGCAUGCCUGUUUGAGUAUCAUGAAAUCUUCAAAGUAAUAUCUUUUGUUAAUUCAAUUGGUUUCUUUGGUAUUGGAGGUCUAUUGCAGCUUCACACCUGCUCCUCUUUGUUCAUUAGCUGGAUCUCAGUGUUAUGCUUGGUUCCACUCAGCGUGAUAAGUUAUCUAUCGCUGAGGACACUUUUCUACUCUGUAAAAAGAGUUUGGGAGGGGUGGCCAAGGUAAAUGCAGAUGAACCGCUUCUAAUAGUCCAUUGACUUGGACAAUCAAUAUUUAUGAUCUGAUCUCAAAUCAGGUAGGACUACCCGCUGAACUUAAGCAUAUCAUAAGGCCGGAG
rnacentral:rRNA from 1 species